AUUGAACGCUGGCGGCAGGCCUAACACAUGCAAGUCGAACGGCAGCACAGAAGAGCUUGCUCUUUGGGUGGCGAGUGGCGGACGGGCGAGUAAUGUCUGGGAAACUGCCCGAUGGAGGGGGAUAACUACUGGAAACGGUAGCUAAUACCGCAUAACGUCGCGAGACCAAAGUGGGGGACCUUCGGGCCUCACACCAUCGGAUGUGCCCAGAUGGGAUUAGCUAGUAGGUGGGGUAAUGGCUCACCUAGGCGACGAUCCCUAGCUGGUCUGAGAGGAUGACCAGCCACACUGGAACUGAGACACGGUCCAGACUCCUACGGGAGGCAGCAGUGGGGAAUAUUGCACAAUGGGCGCAAGCCUGAUGCAGCCAUGCCGCGUGUAUGAAGAAGGCCUUCGGGUUGUAAAGUACUUUCAGCGGGGAGGAAGGCGGUGAGGUUAAUAACCUUGCCGAUUGACGUUACCCGCAGAAGAAGCACCGGCUAACUCCGUGCCAGCCGCCGCGGUAACAC
rnacentral:rRNA from 1 species